CGUUAGUGGCGGACGGGUGAGUAACGCGUGGGUAACCUGCCCUAUACAGGGGGAUAACAACCAGAAAUGGUUGCUAAUACCGCAUAAGCGCACAGGACCGCAUGGUACAGUGGUAAAAACUCCGGUGGUAUGAGAUGGACCCGCGUCUGAUUAGGUAGUUGGUGAGGUAACGGCCCACCAAGCCGACGAUCAGUAGCCGACCUGAGAGGGUGACCGGCCACAUUGGGACUGAGACACGGCCCAG
rnacentral:rRNA from 1 species